rnacentral:rRNA from 1 species
ACUCCUACGGGAGGCAGCAGUGGGGAAUAUUGCACAAUGGACGAAAAGUCUGAUGCAGCAACGCCGCGUGGAGGAUGACACAUUUCGGUGCGUAAACNCCUUUUAUAUAAGGAAGAUGAUUGACGGUACUAUAUGAAUAAGCACCGGCUAACUCCGUGCCAGCAGCCGCGGUAAUACGGAGGGUAGCAAGCGUUACUCGAAUCACUGGGCGUAAAGAGCGUGUGGCGGAUAGAUAAGUCAGGAGUGAAAUCCUAUGGCUC